AGAAAGAAAUAGGAUGCACAUGAAUAUUCCAAAUCCACAACACAGAGAGCUAGUGUCCAGUCUCACACUUAACACAUUCCUGGACUUUUCCCUCUUCCAAACACCUCGCCUGGACAGAGUUAAAGCCUUAGCCCUUUUCUUUUAUACAAAUUCCAAUAUCUGCUAAACAUGGCAGAAGUAUCUACACACUGCAGAAAGAAAGGGAUACGCUACCGUACCGAGUCGCUCACUAU
rnacentral:misc_RNA from 1 species